rnacentral:tRNA from 1 species
GGAAGGAUGGCCCAGUGAUUAGGACACUAGCUGGAGACCUGGGUUCAAGUCCCUGUUCUGCCA